CGGACGACGCUGGCGGCACUGCCUAUACAUGCAAGUCGAGCGGACUUGAAGAGAAGCUUGCUUCUCUGAUGGUUAGCGGCGGACGGGUGAGUAACACGUAGGCAACCUGCCCUCAAGCUUGGGACAACUACCGGAAACGUAGCUAAUACCGAAUACUUGUUCCUUCGCCUGAAGGAAACUGGAAAGACGGAGCAAUCUGUCACUUGAGGAUGGGCCUGCGGCGCAUUAGCUAGUUGGUGAGGUAACGGCUCACCAAGGCGACGAUGCGUAGCCGACCUGAGAGGGUGAUCGGCCACACUGGGACUGAGACACGGCCCAGACUCCUACGGGAGGCAGCAGUAGGGAAUCUUCCGCAAUGGGCGAAAGCCUGACGGAGCAAUGCCGCGUGAGUGAUGAAGGUUUUCGGAUCGUAAAGCUCUGUUGCCAGGGAAGAACGCUUAGGAGAGUAACUGCUCCUGAGGUGACGGUACCUGAGAAGAAAGCCCCGGCUAACUACGUG
rnacentral:rRNA from 1 species